rnacentral:rRNA from 1 species
AUUAAACGCUGGCGGCAUGCCUUACACAUGCAAGUCGAACGGCAGCACGGGGGCAACCCUGGUGGCGAGUGGCGGACGGGUGAGUAAUACAUCGGAACGUGCCCUGGAGUGGGGGAUAACGCAGCGAAAGCUACGCUAAUACCGCAUAAUUCUGUGAGCAGGAAAGCAGGGGAUCGCAAGACCUUGCGCUUUGGGAGCGGCCGAUGUCGGAUUAGCUAAUUGGUGGGGUAAAGGCCUACCAAGGCGACGAUCCGUAGCGGGUCUGAGAGGAUGAUCCGCCACACUGGGACUGAGACACGGCCCAGACUCCUACGGGAGGCAGCAGUGGGGAAUUUUGGACAAUGGGCGGAAGCCUGAUCCAGUCAUGCCGCGUGAGUGAAGAAGGCCUUCGGGUUGUAAA